UGUUUUGAAAUGAAAUGCAAAGAAGAAAAUGAAGUAAAACUCUUGCAGCACCGUGAUCUCUGUGGUCAUAGCACAGGUGAGCCUACGACAGAUUAGCAGCAGAGGCAGAGAGUGAUGCAGAAUGGAACAAACCUCUCUGUGCAGAGUGGCCUCUCCCUGAAAAAGAAGACAUUUUACAUAAGAAUCCAUUUAUGAUUUGACGUGUGCUCUUUUGUGAAUCACUAAGAGGUGUGUUUAAACCACCUUUAAAAUCCUGCUAAAUAACAACCCCAAGGAAGAACUAAAUUAAGAAUUCCAUCUUUGUUUUCAUAGUCCUGAAGGAAAAGUGGGAAGUGAAAGGCAUGCAGGCUCUGCUCCCUGGCCUGGCCUGUCUAACGUCUGGAAUACCUGUGAGACUCAUGCUCCACGUGUAUUUCACAGAAGAGAAAAGGAGCGAAUGGGAUCAAGACCGUCUCUGAAGUGUACAGGCUCUCUCUGCAAUGCCUGUCCUUUGUGGAAAGUCUUCCCUGUACAAGAUGCUCCAGCAACACCAACGCUUCACAGCGCAAGGCUCACUAGGCCUUUCUCUUUGGAGUGGAGGAAGUCGUUUUAGAAUUGGGGUUGUUCUGCAUUCCAUCAGGAGCAGGAACCUCCUACAUAUUAGACUUCAGAAUCUCAAUCCUCUCCUUUGGCUGUCAAAGCUGGAACCCAAUGACUUCAUUCUGACUCAGGAUCCAGAGUAUAUUUUAUUUCUUUCUUUCACUAAGUCUUUCUGUACCAUAUCUCAUGCACUGAGUUAGAAAUGCAGGAUCUAGGGUAGUCUGUCUCAACUCCUUCGCUGAGUUAGAAAUGCAGGAUCUAGGGUAGCCUGGAUCAACUCUUCCACUGAGUUAGA